rnacentral:rRNA from 1 species
AGCAGCCGCGGUAAUUCCAGCUCCAAUAGCGUAUAUUAAAGUUGCUGCAGUUAAAAAGCUCGUAGUUGAAUUUCGGGACCAUCAUGUCGGUCGUGCCUCGGUACGUACUGGCAUUGUUGGUUUCUACCUUCUGACGAACCAUGAUGUCAUUUAUUUGGUGUCGUGGGAAAUCAGGACUGUUACUUUGAAAAAUUAGAGUGUUUAAAGCAGGCUCACGCUUGAAUACAUUAGCAUGGAAUAAUGAAAUAGGACGUUUGAUUCUAUUUUGUUGGUUUCUAGGAUCGACGUAAUGAUUAAUAGGGAUAGUUGGGGGCAUUAGUAUUCAAUUGUCAGAGGUGAAAUUCUUGGAUUAUUGAAGACUAACUACUGCGAAGCAUUUGCCAAGGAUGUUUUCAUUAAUCAAGAACGAAGUUAGGGGAUCGAAG